GACGAACGCUGGCGGCGUGCUUAACACAUGCAAGUCGAACGGAAAGGCCCUGCUUUUGUGGGGUGCUCGAGUGGCGAACGGGUGAGUAACACGUGAGUAGCCUGCCCUUGACUUUGGGAUAACUUCAGGAAACUGGGGCUCAUACCGGAUAGGAGCUCCUGCUGCAUGGUGGGGGUUGGAAAGUUUCGGCGGUUGGGGAUGGACUCGCGGCUUAUCAGCUUGUUGGUGGGGUAGUGGCGUACCAAGGCUUUGACGGGUAGCCGGCCUGAGAGGGUGACCGGCCACAUUGGGACUGAGAGACGGCCCAGACUACUACGGGAGGCAGAAGGGGGGAAUAUUGAACAAUGGGCGGAAGCCUGAUGCAGCAACGCCGCGUGCGGGAUGACGGCCUUAGGGGUGUAAACCGCUUGCGCCUGUGACGAAGCGUGAGUGAAGGUAAUGGGUAAAGAAGCACCGGCUAACUACGUG
rnacentral:rRNA from 1 species